rnacentral:tRNA from 1 species
GAGGGAUUCGAACCCUCGGUAAACAAAAGCUUACAUAGCAUU